ACAUUUAUCCAAUUCUGCCUUGCUCUCUGAAAAUGAUCAAUUAUCAGCAAAUUUCAAAUUCUUUUCUCCCCCCCAGGUACUGAUUUGCUCAAACUGUCCCGCAAUGAUCUUGUACAGAUCUGUGGAAUGGCAGAUGGGAUUAGACUUUCAAAUGCUCUAAAAGCAAGGACUGUGCGCCCUCGUCUCAUUCUUUAUGUGUCCAAGGAACUAGAAGCAAGUGGGAACAAUGCUCCCCCAAACCCAGCAUCUGUUAUAUACCAGGAA